rnacentral:rRNA from 1 species
CUGGCGGCAGGCUUAACACAUGCAAGUCGAGCGGAAACGAUGAAAAGCUUGCUUUUCAGGCGUCGAGCGGCGGACGGGUGAGUAAUGCUUGGGAAUAUGCCUUAUGGUGGGGGACAACAGUUGGAAACGACUGCUAAUACCGCAUAAUGUCUACGGACCAAAGGGGGGGAUCUUCGGACCUCUCGCCAUUUGAUUAGCCCAAGUGAGAUUAGCUAGUUGGUGAGGUAAAGGCUCACCAAGGCGACGAUCUCUAGCUGGUUUGAGAGGAUGAUCAGCCACACUGGGACUGAGACACGGCCCAGACUCCUACGGGAGGCAGCAGUGGGGAAUAUUGCACAAUGGGGGAAACCCUGAUGCAGCCAUGCCGCGUGUGUGAAGAAGGCCUUCGGGUUGUAAAGCACUUUCAGUUGUGAGGAAAGGUGUGUAGUUAAUAACUGCAUACUGUGACGUUAACAACAGAAGAAGCACCGGCUAACUUCGUGCCAGCAGCCGCGGUAAUACGAGGGGUGCAAGCGUUAAUCGGAAUUACUGGGCGUAAAGCGUACGUAGGCGGUUUGUUAAGCAAGAUGUGAAAGCCCAGGGCUCAACCUUGGAACUGCAUUUUGAACUGGCAAACUAGAGUACUGUAGAGGGUGGUGGGAAUUUCCAGUGUAGCGGUGAAAUGCGUAGAGAUUGGAAGGAAC